GUGGGGAAUUUUGGACAAUGGGCGCAAGCCUGAUCCAGCAAUGCCGCGUGCAGGAAGAAGGCCUUCGGGUUGUAAACUGCUUUUGUACGGAACGAAACGGUCUGGGUUAAUACCCUGGACUAAUGACGGUACCGUAAGAAUAAGCACCGGCUAACUACGUGCCAGCAGCCGCGGUAAUACGUAGGGUGCAAGCGUUAAUCGGAAUUACUGGGCGUAAAGCGUGCGCAGGCGGUUUUGUAAGACAGGCGUGAAAUCCCCGGGCUCAACCUGGGAAUUGCGCUUGUGACUGCAAGGCUGGAGUGCGGCAGAGGGGGAUGGAAUUCCGCGUGUAGCAGUGAAAUGCGUAGAUAUGCGGAGGAACACCGAUGGCGAAGGCAAUCCCCUGGGCCUGCACUGACGCUCAUGCACGAAAGCGUGGGGAGCAAACAGGAUUAGAUACCCGAGUAGUCC
rnacentral:rRNA from 1 species